AACGAACGCUGGCGGCAUGCCUAACACAUGCAAGUCGAACGAGACCUUCGGGUCUAGUGUCGCACGGGUGCGUAACGCGUGGGAACCUGCCCUUAGGUUCGGAAUAACUCCCCGAAAGGGGUGCUAAUACCGGAUACUGUCUUCGGACCAAAGAUUUAUCGCCUUUGGAUGGGCCCGCGUUGGAUUAGCUAGUUGGUAGGGUAAAAGCCUACCAAGGCGACGAUCCAUAGCUGGUCUGAGAGGAUGAUCAGCCACACUGGGACUGAGACACGGCCCAGACUCCUACGGGAGGCAGCAGUGGGGAAUAUUGGACAAUGGGCGAAAGCCUGAUCCAGCAAUGCCGCGUGAGUGAUGAAGGCCUUAGGGUUGUAAAGCUCUUUUACCCGGGAUGAUAAUGACAGUACCGGGAGAAUAAGCUCCGGCUAACUCCGUG
rnacentral:rRNA from 1 species